ACGUAGGCAGCGAGCGUUGUUCGGAGUUACUGGGCGUAAAGAGUAUGUAGGCGGUUCUCCAAGUCUGGUGUGAAAUCUCCCGGCUCAACCGGGAGGGUGCAUUGGAAACUGGGGGGCUGGAGUGCGGGAGAGGGAAGCGGAAUUCCUGGUGUAGCGGUGAAAUGCGUAGAUAUCAGGAGGAACACCCGCGGUGUAGACGGCUUCCUGGACCGUAACUGACGCUGAGAUACGAAAGCGUGGGGAGCAAACAG
rnacentral:rRNA from 1 species